ACUGUAGUUGAGAACAAGACCAUGCACGCAUAGCUCAGCUGGACCCUGGAUGCAGCUGGUUGGGAUUGGAAACAUUGCCAGAAACAUAAACGUAAACAUAAAACGUGGUUGUUUUUAAACAUCUUUGUCAUUACCUAGCAUAUUGAUUAUCUGGUCAACUGAAGCCAUGCUCAUUUUAAUACCAAGUUUAUUUGUAAACAGCAGUGAGAGUAGAAUGUAUGUAUGUCCACACAAAAGUACACCAUCAUCUUUAUUAUUCGUGGCUUUUCGGGAUCCAUCAAAAAGCGUGAGUUGGGCAACUUAUCACACUACAGUAGGGCUAUUGAGGCCACAAUUCUGCAUUUGAGCACAUGGACUACAUCGACUCAGGUAAGUUUUGAUGAUAUUACUGGGGUAAAUUUAGUAUUGAUAAGACAAACAAGCUGCUAGUCAUUAACAAACUGACAGAUCAUUGUUGGAGAAAAGCUCAAUGUAUUAAUUCGGAGCUGACAUGAGUGGGAGAUCGGCAUGGCUACUGUACAGUGGAGCUGCCUUGAUGUCUCGUCAAAAAAGUCAGAUCUUUGCAUGCAUGUCUGCCUAUGAAAAGGUAAAUACAGUUAAAUUACCCCAACAUUUCCAGUUUAUUACUGUUAAUUCCUAUUAAUUCCCGUAUAUUACUGUCCAUUCCUGUGGGAAGUUUCCAACUUAAAGUAACACAAACAGAAGUGCAACAUACAGCGGAGAACUUCUUCUGUCAAACAGAAGGGGGAUCAGUAGGACUGAUAGUGACCGGAACUUGUUGAUAGCUGCUAGUCUACUUCCAUCCCAACAUCUACCCUGCGCGGCACAGCAGAUGCCAACCACUGUGUCCCUAAAACAAAGGGGGUUUGAAAACGUCCUUGCUAAAUGGCGGGAGAUUGUUGGGCACAGGUCAGGGUGAUCAGGAUCUUGUCUGAAUCCUUGACCAUCAACACCAGCGCCUCCCAAGGGUGCGUCAGUACACACUAUUGGUAGCAAUGACAUAGUGAUAUGUUCUGAUGAUACAGCCAUUCUGGGUGUCAUGUCUGAUACAUCAGAUACAGCAAUAUACAAAUGCGAGAUUCCAAAUCGUCAAAAUACUGACAUGCAGUGUUCAGGUAGAAAAUGUCUGUUCUAGGGUCCAACAGCAUCUCAUUCUGGAUUAUUAACCUUGGUGUGAAGCUGAAAGCGAAGGCAACACGAACAACACAAAGAGCCAUGAUAAUCAUGGGGGUCAGACAGCGUCCAACACUGCAGGCUGUCUUUAAUGAAACCAUCAUCAGACAGGCCCAGAAGAUUAUUUC
ensembl:lncRNA